UACGGAGGGUGCAAGCGUUAUCCGGAUUCACUGGGUUUAAAGGGUGCGUAGGUGGGCAGGUAAGUCAGUGGUGAAAUCUCCGGGCUUAACCCGGAAACUGCCAUUGAUACUAUCUGUCUUGAAUACCGUGGAGGUGAGCGGAAUAUGUCAUGUAGCGGUGAAAUGCUUAGAUAUGACAUAGAACACCAAUUGCGAAGGCAGCUCACUACGCGAAUAUUGACACUGAGGCACGAAAGCGUGGGGAUUAAACAGG
rnacentral:rRNA from 1 species